UACGUAGGUGGCAAGCGUUGUCCGGAAUUAUUGGGCGUAAAGCGCGCGCAGGCGGUCCUUUAAGUCUGAUGUGAAAGCCCACGGCUCAACCGUGGAGGGUCAUUGGAAACUGGGGGGACUUGAGUGCAGAAGAGGAAAGCGGAAUUCCACGUGUAGCGGUGAAAUGUGUAGAGAUCGGGAGGAACACCGGUGGCGAAAGCGAUCCGCUGGACCCUUUCUGACGCUGAUGCGCGAAAGCCAGGGGAGCGAACGGG
rnacentral:rRNA from 1 species